GACGAACGCUGGCGGCGUGCUUAACACAUGCAAGUCGAACGGAAAGGCCUGCUUUCCCUUGUGGAUUGCGGGUACUCGAGUGGCGAACGGGUGAGUAACACGUGAGUGAUCUGCCCCCAACUUGGGUAUAAGCCUGGGAAACUGGGUCUAAUUCCCGAUAGGACUGCAGGGUGGUGCCUGUGGUGGAAAACGAUUUUCUAGUGGUUGGGGAUGAGCUCGCGGCCUAUCAGCUUGUUGGUGGGGUGAUGGCCUACCAAGGCGGCGACGGGUAGCCGGCCUGAGAGGGUGGACGGCCACAUUGGGACUGAGAUACGGCCCAGACUCCUACGGGAGGCAGCAGUGGGGAAUAUUGCACAAUGGGCGGAAGCCUGAUGCAGCGACGCCGCGUGGGGGAUGACGGCCUUCGGGUUGUAAACUCCUUUCGACCGCGAGGAAGCCACCUGGUUGGAAGGGUGGUGACGGUAGUGGUAGAAGAAGCACCGGCUAACUACGUG
rnacentral:rRNA from 1 species